rnacentral:lncRNA from 1 species
GGAUAUUUAAAAGGAAAUGUUUAUUUUCAUGUUAUAAGGUGAUUACAAACUCUUCUAAAAAAAAAAAAGCAAAGAUGAAUUUAAAAUAUCGAUAUACGUAUUUAUCUAAAAAGCCAAAGAGGAAAGGAAAAACCCUGCAAAAUACAGGGAUUCGUAUCAGAAAACAGUUAUACACAAAAGCUUGUAUACUGCAAGAAUGAAUUACACACCAAAAUUCUUAUUCAAAUACAAAUGCUCCUCCUCAGAAGAAUCUCAUGUUGGUUGAUUUUUUUUUUUUUUUACAAAAGUUUAAAAUAUCUUAAAAAUAUUCGAAGUUUAAAAAAAAAGUCCUGAUGAGCCAGACAUAUUUCUGGAAGGAGGCAAGACCCACGUUCUCAGCUUUCUCUUGGGCUGAGAGUCACAGUUGCUAGGGAUUCAAGAAUUAACUGGGUUAAAAAAAAAAUGGAGCCAACAUCUCAGUUUGAAGCCAGACAUACACCAAGAUGCUCCAGGCCCUCAGGGAGCAUGUCUGUAGUGAAACCGUGGAGAACAAUGAAACACAGCUUGGGAACUGCAGUCUGAAAGCCAGGCAUUGAGAGGGAGGGACUGGGGAGAAAUGCUGUUUCCUGGCUUCUGGCUGCCCACACUCCUCUCCAGGUCUUGGUAUCUGAGCUUUGCUUUCCUGUGGUUUUGUGCUUGUUGGACUUUUGCACAGUGAUGUUUACAGCAUCCACGUGGACAGACCGGCCUGGGGCCACCUGACACUGGGUCUGCGGGCUGGAUGGGCUCUCUAGCUGCCUCAGGUGCUUUGCUGGCCUGUGUCUGCAGCAUGGGGAAGGGAGGCAGUCUGCCUUAGCACUCGGGCUGCCCAGAGCACUGUCCCAUCCCGAGGGAUGGUUCUGGGAGAUGCUGGCUGGGCCGCUGACCACUGUGCCCUGGCGCCUGGGGAUAUGAGAACACCCAGUGCUAGGCUGAGGUGGGGGGUGUCCCUCUCCUCUUGUGCUUCCUCACAAUCUUGGGGUGUCCUGGAGAUCUGGGGUGAGAAUGUGGGACCAGAGGUACCGAGGGGGAGUGUGUAUUGUCCAGAAAUCACCCAAGACCACUUCCUGCUGCAUGGGCAUUUCCCAUGUGGCCUCAGGCAAAAUUCUGUCCCAGGGGCUCUGCCUCCUACACCUCAACUGGCUUCCCAGCUUAACAGGGGUCUAGUGUCUCACUCAGAGGACUGCGGGGGCAGGGGCAGGUGAACCAGGGGUGCCUGUCCCACUGAGCCACAGCUUGGAGUCCAGAUGGCCCCAGAGGAUAAUCAGGGGGUGGGGUGCUGCUCUGAAUGCUGGGGACAGAGCAUGUCCUUUUUCAUAAAGGCUGCUCUUUGGUCUUCAGGGAGAACAGGCCCAUUUGACCACAAGGACACUGACUGGGGGGCCCUGGAAGCCUGUCCUUCACUGACUGUGCGGCUCCAUAGCAGGGAAUGAUAGGGCCCAGGCCCAGCUCAGCGGAGCUUCUCCCUGGGUGAGAUUACCUGGGGCCUCACCCACUUCUGCCUCCUAAAAGCAUCCUUUAAACAUCUCCCUUGCAUCCCUUGUAGAUCUGGCUGCCAGCAUCAGAAUUUCCAACCCAUCCCAGGCAUAGUGCCCAGAGGAGGGCGGACCAGAGUCAUGAGCCCCAAUCACAAGUUUUCUUUAUGCAGAGACAUAAAAGUCACAUCAUCACACAUGGUGCUCACAGAGCAGAGUUCUGAGGAUACAAAAGAGCCAGGGGCUCAGACAGGAGACAGUGGUUAGUUAACGAAAGUUCCAUAAGACAAAGGAAAACAGGUCACAUUGCUACUCAGUAAAAUCAGGGGAAAAACCCCCAAAACAAUAAAAAUCAAAUCAGACACAGUGGCAACCAUAAAUACAUAGUACAACAGGAACACAGGCUUGCUAACGGUGUGGAAUAGGAUUGGGUGUUUGGCAGAGCACGUGGUUUGGAGACAGCGGACUGUGAAUGCUCGCCAAGGACGAGAGGUUCAGAACUGCCUCUGCCCUUGGGGGGACACCCAGGGCCCCUCCGCUGCUGGGACAUGGGGACGGGGUGCCAGGACUCGGAGCACCCUGCUCUAAACGCCUGAGCUGGACUGCGUGCUGCACACCCUCGAGGCAGUCACUGCUGUUUGUGUGUGAAAGUGUUUCGGUUUACUUUAGACUCUGAACUUGGAAGUUUCUGUUUAAAUGGCACAGCUUAGGUCCGAAUGCGGGCUGGGGUGGAGGCACAUCCGAAGCUGGGAUUUUAAAGGUGGAGUACCUUCUCUCCUGGUUCAGGAGGAGUGCUGCUCCAAACAAGCUCUGGGUCAGGCCAUUGCUGGGGUGCCCGUCCCCGAACAUCCUGACUCACCCCUCAUCCCUGUCCCACAGAGCGCAUGCCUGACCGCAGCUUUUGUGGGUUCGAGGGAGCAUUUCCUCAUCUCCCAGGUCACCACCAGGGUGGCACAGGUGGCUGAACUUGGAGGAGUCUGGGGAUUAUGUGACCCCAAUCAGAGGUCGCUUGUGGCACUCCCUGCUGGGUGCUGGGGUGGCCCGGGGCUGGGAUCUUGAGCAAGAGUCUCCGGGGGACCAGGGCCGAGCCAAGGGUGGAGCUCCCCACUCCUGACACUGG